UGAAGGUGUAGUAGAACUCUCAGCUCCUCCUGCACCAUGCCUGCUUGGAAGCUGCCAUGCUUUCCGCCUUGAUGAUACUGGACUGAACCUUUGAACCUGUCUUGGCGACCUCCAAACCCAGCUGAAUAGGGAGACAGGCACUUGGUCUGGAGCAAAGCCUGUGAGCCAAAGGUGUGUGUGCUGGUCCGAGGAUGGUGUCUUCCGACCUAGGUGCAGUCUAUUGUCCUGCCACAUCUGCAGCUUCCUGCAAGAAGCCACUACCUGCUGAGCAGCUGAGCUUGUCUUCCUGACGAGAUGCUGACAAACCGAGGAGAUCCUGGCAAAGAAGGGGAUGGAUUCACUACCCCCCCCUUAAAAAUUCAGACUC
rnacentral:lncRNA from 1 species